UACAGAGGUCGCAAGCGUUGUUCGGAUUCAUUGGGCGUAAAGGGUGCGUAGGUGGCUCUGUACGUCGGGUGUGAAAUUUCGGAGCUUAACUCCGAAACUGCAUUCGAUACUGCGGUGCUUGAGGACUGGAGAGGAGACUGGAAUUCAUGGUGUAGCAGUGAAAUGCGUAGAGAUCAUGAGGAAGACCAGUGGCGAAGGCGGGUCUCUGGACAGUUCCUGACACUGAGGCACGAAGGCCAGGGGAGCAAACGGG
rnacentral:rRNA from 1 species